AUUGAACGCUGGCGGCAGGCCUAACACAUGCAAGUCGAACGGUAACAGAAAGCAGCUUGCUGCUUUGCUGACGAGUGGCGGACGGGUGAGUAAUGUCUGGGAAACUGCCUGAUGGAGGGGGAUAACUACUGGAAACGGUAGCUAAUACCGCAUAACGUCGCAAGACCAAAGAGGGGGACCUUCGGGCCUCUUGCCAUCGGAUGUGCCCAGAUGGGAUUAGCUAGUAGGUGGGGUAACGGCUCACCUAGGCGACGAUCCCUAGCUGGUCUGAGAGGAUGACCGGCCACACUGGAACUGAGACACGGUCCAGACUCCUACGGGAGGCAGCAGUGGGGAAUAUUGCACAAUGGGCGCAAGCCUGACGCAGCCAUGCCGCGUGUAUGAAGAAGGCCUUCGGGUCGUAAAGUACUUUCAUCGGGGAGGAAGAUAGUAAUAUUAAUCCCUGCACUCAUUGACGUUACCCGCAGAAGAAGCACCGGCUAACUCCGUG
rnacentral:rRNA from 1 species